UUGGACUGGACUGUACCUGGUUUAUUGAUGCAGAUGUUCAGCUGACCUGCAUGAUGAACAGCUCACUGGAAGAAGUGAAUAAUGAUCUCUGCUAUAGUUGAAGAUAAUCUUAAUUUUUUCCUGUUUUCUCUGCCAUGCACCCAAACGCUCAGUUCAUUUGAGAAGAUUGGAAAGGAACAGUGGAAUUGCUUCAGCUCUGCGCCCAUCCUGUAAGGUGCAGAAUACCCUUAACUCACACGUCAAUGGCGUACUCAACUCAGAUACUAAGCGACCUGAAAUUAGGGAAACAUCCACAAAGGGCUCUAUCCAGCAGACAUUACUCAAGCAUAAUUCCCAUUGAUUUCAAAAACUUUUGCCUGAGCAAAAACUGUAGGAGUGGCACCUAAGACUUUGAAGGAAAAGCACCAUCCUGUUUCUAUAGAAGGCUAGAAGAAAGGUAAUCACAAAGGAUAACAUUUUCAAAAGCAUGUCAUUUUCAUAUUGCUUAAUGUUCUUAGUGUUUAAUGCCAGAAGGGAUCAUUAGAUUAUCUAGUCUGACUUCCUGUAUAUCACAGGCCCUUAUAUUAUCCCUGUAUUAAGAUCAGUGACUUGAGGACUGAAAUUCUUUAGUUUAACUCUGGAGAACAGGAGAAACUAAGUUGCCACCAAUCAUAGGCGCAGACUCCGUGAGUGCUCCAGGGCUGGGGCACCCAUAGGGAAAAUCCUCCUCCCACCUUGAACAAACCGCGUCCCUGCUCCUCCGCCUACCUCCCAGCGC